AGGCAGCAGUGAGGAAUAUUGGUCAAUGGGCGAGAGCCUGAACCAGCCAAGUAGCGUGAAGGAUGACUGCCCUAUGGGUUGUAAACUUCUUUUAUAAAGGAAUAAAGUCGGGUAUGGAUACCCGUUUGCAUGUACUUUAUGAAUAAGGAUCGGCUAACUCCGUGCC
rnacentral:rRNA from 1 species